CGCCAUUCUCCCGUGUUCACGCCAUUCUCCCGCCUCAGCCUCCCGAGUAGCUGGGACUACAGGCGUCCGCCAUCACACCCAGCUAAUUUUUCGUAUUUUUAGUAGAGACGUGUUAGCCAGGAUGGUCUCUAUCUCUUGACCUCGUGAUCCGUCCGCCUCGGCCUCCCAAAGUGCUGGGAUUACAGGCGUGAGCCACCGCGCCUGGCCUUUUAUUUCUAUUCUUUUAGUAGUCUAGAAGAGGACUGCCAUUUAUUUUUAAUGCUGUGUCGGUAAUGCUGCUAGAAAUAUUCUUCACGUGUCAAAUGGUGCACCGAUGCAAGAGAUUUCUACCACGUAAACCCAAAACUGAAGUUGCUGUAUUGUAAGUGUUGAGGUGAGCAAGUUCUACAGCAGGCAGAUCAGCAAAUGGAUGAGGAAUGGUGGUGCCUUAGACCAGCCUGAUAACAGGAGAAGUGUUUGCAUACCAGAUACAUGUUGAAGAUGGGAAAAAAAUCAUGUUUGCGUGCUGACAGGAAGUAGGAAGCGGAAAAUUUGAUAAUACAGUAAGAAGAGGGGAAAAGCUCUCUGUAGCAGCGUCCUGGAGUCGGAGAUAAAGUGUGGAUGGACGAUCCAACCCUCGUAAAGUGAGGAAAGGCAGAGUUAAUAGGCACAGAUGGAGGGAAAGAAACUUGUGUAUGGCACAGUGGAAACAAUGAAGUUGAAGGGUACGGCUUAAUGGAUGAUGAAAAUGAGAUGUUCGGGGGACAAGAGAGGGAACCCACAGAAGACUUCCAUGAAGCUCUUGCAAUAUAAAAGACCCAGAACUCAGCCCCACUUCUGGAACCUUGCUUUCAGGCUACAUUGACUUCCUCCAUGGCAUCCAAGUGUAAUGAGCAGUUCCGGACUUCACAUCCAUACAACACAGCAUUCACAUACAUAAAGGGAUUCAGCACUGGAUAAAGUUUGCUCACUGACAUUUUUAAACUAAUCAUGGCAGCAAGAAGAAUAAAAAAAAAGAACUCAACAGCUGGGAUGCCCUUUAAGCCGAGAGUAGUUUUGGAUCCUUCUUAACCAUAAAGCUACUAUGCACUUGGUGAAAGGGGGAUAAAAUCACAAUACCAACAACAAAAUUACUUGUAUUUUAAUGGAAUAUUUCCAAGCCUUGAACAAUUCUGGGUGCUUAAUAGUGCAUAGAUUUUUCUUGAAAUGAAAAUUAUGUAAAUAUAAGGCCUGGGGUUUUCUAUUUGCUCAUGGAUUUUCAAAGUUCACUAAUGAAAUAUCCCAGCAAGAUUUACUUGUUUUACACCACAGACUCGUAUUUUUAUAUAAUAGAGUAUUAUAUACCUGUGCAAUAUAAGAGAUCAUAUUACCUGUGCGUGUGUAUGAUGCUACUGACCUACAAAAUACAGAAUUAUGCUUUCCAUAACAACAACCCUCACAAAAGCAUUAUAACAUAGGUUAUAAAUAUAACUUGUCAUUAGGUAACUGCGUUUUAUUUUCCUUUGAGUAUAUUAAAAUAAAUCACAUUAAAUUAUAUGCUUUAUUUCAUAAUAUUGAAGUAAAUGAAAUAUUCUGAUAUUAUUUAUUAUAUAGGACUUAAAUGUAUUUACUAAACAAGUAUCUGCUGAGUAAUUAACCAUUGUCAGGCAGUACAUAAAGUGACAAAAGGAGAAAACGAAUAAGACAAGAUUCCUCCUCACAGCUUUCCCACAAGGUACCACCCACCAACAAGUCAUGAAAUUAAAUGCAUGACAACUGCUCAGAAUAAUAAAUAUUAAAUUCAGAUAUACCGAGGUGUUAUGGACACUCAGUUACUGAUUUAGAAAUUAGUCAUCACUUAGUUGCUCAGAGGUGACUUGAAACGUAAAGGAUGAAUGGGGGUUUGUCAGAUGGACAAAGGAAAAAGGAGAUUCACAUAGAGAAUAUUGCUAAGAAGGUAACUAAGAGAUAUGACAGAACUAGGUGGGUGUGUAGAAGAACAAUAUAAUUUGUCAUGCAGACUGGGAUGCAUUUGGGAGAAAAAGAGAAGACUGAUAAUUAAAAUUGUAUUAUGCUUUGGAAUAUUAUUGACCCACAAAUUGAGUUUUAUAUGUUGAUAGACAUAAUAAUUCUAAUAAAAUCUAAUUCAAAAGUAAUUUUUCUAAAAAUUAAGAAAUAAUGUGCAUAUUAAAGAAAAACUUAAAAUCCUCUUUUUAAUUUGAUUAUCUGAACAUUAAAUUCAAUAGAAGCAGAAUAAUUAGUGUUUCUUUGUAUACUUAAGAGUUUCAUGGUUGUUCCAGAAUCUAGAAAAUAUUCUUAUUAGGAUAUUUUUGGUAAGUUAUUAUUAUUUUUACUAUUAUUAUUUUUUAUUAUACUAUAAGUUCUGGAAUACAUGUGCAGAAUGUGCAGGUUUGUUACAUAGGUAUACACAUGCCAUGGUGGUUUGCUGCACUCAUCAACCCAUCAUCUACAUUAGGUAUUUCUCCUAAUGCUAUCCCUCCCCUAGACCCCCACCCCCUGACAGGUCCCUAUGUGUGAUGUUCUCCUCCCUGUGUCCAUGUGUUCUUAUUGUUCAACUUCCACCUAUGAGUGAGAACAUGUGGUGUUUGGUUUUCUGUUCCUGUGUUAGU
rnacentral:lncRNA from 10 species